GCAUCUAUAGUUUAAUUGGUAAAACUACUGCCUUCCAAGCAGAAGUCCUCGGUUCGAGACCGGGUAGAUGCUCCA
rnacentral:tRNA from 1 species